rnacentral:rRNA from 1 species
GACGUAGGGCGCGAGCGUUGUCCGGAUUUAUUGGGCGUAAAGAGCUCGUAGGCGGCUUGUCGCGUCGUCCGUGAAAACCUGCAGCUCAACUGCAGGCUUGCGGUCGAUACGGGCAGGCUAGAGUUCGGUAGGGGAGACUGGAAUUCCUGGUGUAGCGGUGAAAUGCGCAGAUAUCAGGAAGAACACCCGUGGCGAAAGCGGCUCUCUGGAACGGUACUGACGCUGAGACGCGAAAGCGUGGGGAGCGAACAGG